rnacentral:rRNA from 1 species
UACGUAGGGGGCGAGCGUUGUCCGGAUUUACUGGGCGUAAAGGGAGCGUAGGCGGACGCUUAAGUGAGAUGUGAAAUACCCGAGCUCAACUUGGGUGCUGCAUUUCAAACUGGGUGUCUAGAGUGCAGGAGAGGAAAGUGGAAUUCCUAGUGUAGCGGUGAAAUGCGUAGAGAUUAGGAAGAACACCAGUGGCGAAGGCGACUUUCUGGACUGUAACUGACGCUGAGGCUCGAAAGCGUGGGGAGCAAAC